UACGUAGGGUGCAGGCGUUUAAUCGGAAUUACUGGGCGUAAAGAGCGCGCAGGCGGUCGAGUAAGUCGAAUGUGAAAGCCCCCGGCUCAACUGGGGAGGGUCACGCGAUACUGAUCGACUCGAAGGCAGGAGAGGGUAGUGGAAUUCCCGGUGUAGUGGUGAAAUGCGUAGAUAUCGGGAGGAACACCGGUGGCGAAGGCGGGUCUCUGGGCCGAUACUGACGCUGAGGAGCGAAAGCUAGGGGAGCGAACAGG
rnacentral:rRNA from 1 species